rnacentral:rRNA from 1 species
UGUGCGCGAGUCACUGGGAUAUGUCUAAACCCAGAGGCGCAGUGAAAGCGUGGGGCUCGCACGGCAUAAAGCCGCUUGCGAGCCGCUAAGGGAGGACGGGAGGUCGUUCCCGAACGGGGCGGCCUUCCAGCACUCCCGGGGCGCCUCGGCUCCGGCCGCAGGCGCACCCGGAGCGCACACGUUGGGACCCGAAAGAUGGUGAACUAUGCCCGGCCAGGACGAAGUCAGGGGAAACCCUGAUGGAGGUCCGCAGCGAUUCUGACGUGCAAAUCGAUCGUCAGAGCUAGGUAUAGGGGCGAAAGACUAAUCGAACCAUCUAGUAGCU